ACUUAAAUUGAAGAGUUUGAUCAUGGCUCAGAUUGAACGCUGGCGGCAGGCCUAACACAUGCAAGUCGAGCGGUAGCACAGAGAGCUUGCUCUCGGGUGACGAGCGGCGGACGGGUGAGUAAUGUCUGGGAAACUGCCUGAUGGAGGGGGAUAACUACUGGAAACGGUAGCUAAUACCGCAUAAUGUCGCAAGACCAAAGUGGGGGACCUUCGGGCCUCAUGCCAUCAGAUGUGCCCAGAUGGGAUUAGCUAGUAGGUGGGGUAACGGCUCACCUAGGCGACGAUCCCUAGCUGGUCUGAGAGGAUGACCAGCCACACUGGAACUGAGACACGGUCCAGACUCCUACGGGAGGCAGCAGUGGGGAAUAUUGCACAAUGGGCGCAAGCCUGAUGCAGCCAUGCCGCGUGUGUGAAGAAGGCCUUCGGGUUGUAAAGCACUUUCAGCGGGGAGGAAGGCGAUAAGGUUAAUAACCUUGUCGAUUGACGUUACCCGCAGAAGAAGCACCGGCUAACUCCGUGCCAGCAGCCGCGGUAAUACGGAGGGUGCAAGCGUUAAUCGGAAUUACUGGGCGUAAAGCGCACGCAGGCGGUCUGUCAAGUCGGAUGUGAAAUCCCCGGGCUCAACCUGGGAACUGCAUUCGAAACUGGCAGGCUAGAGUCUUGUAGAGGGGGGUAGAAUUCCAGGUGUAGCGGUGAAAUGCGUAGAGAUCUGGAGGAAUACCGGUGGCGAAGGCGGCCCCCUGGACAAAGACUGACGCUCAGGUGCGAAAGCGUGGGGAGCAAACAGGAUUAGAUACCCUGGUAGUCCACGCCGUAAACGAUGUCGAUUUGGAGGUUGUGCCCUUGAGGCGUGGCUUCCGGAGCUAACGCGUUAAAUCGACCGCCUGGGGAGUACGGCCGCAAGGUUAAAACUCAAAUGA
rnacentral:rRNA from 1 species